rnacentral:rRNA from 1 species
AUUGAACGCUGGCGGCAGGCCUAACACAUGCAAGUCGAGCGAGCGGCGGACGGGUGAGUAAUGUAUGGGGACUGCCCGAUAGCGGGGGAUAACUACUGGAAACGGUGGCUAAUACCGCAUACUAUCGGAUAACCCAUAUGGGAUUAGCUAGUAGGUGGGGUACAGGCUCACCUAGGCGACGAUCCCUAGCUGGUCUGAGAGGAUGAUCAGCCACACUGGGACUGAGACACGGCCCAGAAUCCUACGGAGGCAGCAGUGGGGAAUAUUGCACAAUGGGCGCAAGCCUGAUGAAGCCAUGCCGCGUGUAUGAAGAAGGCCUUCGGGUUGUAAAGUACUGUCAGCGAGGAGGCGUUACUCGCAGAAGAAGCACCGGCUAACUCCGUGCCAGCAGCCGCGGUAAUAC